GGACUACAGGGGUUUCUAAUCCCGUUCGCUCCCCUGGCUUUCGCGCCUCAGCGUCAGAAGAGGUCCAGCGCGCCGCUUUCGCCACCGGUGUUCCUUCCGAUAUCUACGCAUUUCACCGCUCCACCGGAAGUUCCGCACGCCCCUACCUCCCUCGAGGCCCGCAGUAUCAAAGGCACUUCCACGGUUGAGCCGUGGGAUUUCACCCCUGACUGGCGGGCCCGCCUACGCGCCCUUUAAGCCCAGUGAUUCCGAACAACGUUUGCACGGUUCGUCUUACCGCGGCUGCUGGCAC
rnacentral:rRNA from 1 species